rnacentral:rRNA from 1 species
UACAGAGGUCUCAAGCGUUGUUCGGAUUCAUUGGGCGUAAAGGGUGUGUAGGUGGCGCGCUAAGUCGGGUGUGAAAUUUCGGAGCUUAACUCCGAAACUGCAUUCGAUACUGGCGUGCUUGAGGACUGGAGAGGAGACUGGAAUUCAUGGUGUAGCAGUGAAAUGCGUAGAUAUCGUGAGGAAGACCAGUGGCGAAGGCGGAUCUCUGGACAGUUCCUGACGCUGAGGCGCGAAGGCCAGGGGAGCAAACGGG